rnacentral:tRNA from 1 species
AGGGCUAUAGCUCAGUUAGGUAGAGCAACUCGUUUACACCGAGAAGGCUA